rnacentral:piRNA from 1 species
GGAACGCCUGUGCGUUCUGAAGGACGAG